CGGGAUGUGACAGUUGAGGCUGGGAGCAGAAAUAAUCAACAUGCCCAUUAGAUACAGGACGGAAUAAUGCUUCUAUUGGUUGGGUCCCUUCGAGGACAGAAGAGCUCCUUGGCACUGGAUGCCUCCGGGUCUGGUUGAGAGAGGAAUGGUUAGGAGACUGUUCUGAGGAUACGCAGACAUCAUCCAAAGCUUCCUACAUUCAGAUGAGGACAGAGGUUGGGCCAGAGCUUUGUAAGCUUGUUACCUAAGGAUGGUUCUGACCAUGUAAGCAGAUCACAGAAGCUGGAGGCAAAGGAUGCCAAGAUGGGAAAGCCACAUAAUGGAAGGAUCCUGGAUUUCAGAGCUGUCACUUGGAGGAGGGGCACCCAGUGAAGAGUGGCCAUAUGGAUUUGAUCCCUAUCCUUCAGAGGUGCUCAGCCUAAGGGAACACGGAUAGUAGAUUAAGCACUGACCAGGGGUAUAAAUCCUGCCUUCUCUCAGCCUUACAGAGGAAGAAAACCCUUUCCAAGUUUCCUCUGAUACUGGGUUUAUGCCCAAUUAUAGUUUAGGCAUGAAGAAACUGAAGCAUGGAGGAAAAACUUAGCAACUAGCCCAACGUCACACAGGCAAGCCAGCCUUGACAAUGUGCUGAUGG
rnacentral:lncRNA from 10 species